CGAGUUUGAUCCUGGCUCAGAACGAACGCUGGCGGCAGGCCUAACACAUGCAAGUCGAGCGCGCCCUUCGGGGUGAGCGGCGGACGGGUGAGUAACGCGUGGGAACGUACCCUUUGCUACGGAAUAGUCUCGGGAAACUGGGGGUAAUACCGUAUGAGCCCUUCGGGGGAAAGAUUUAUCGGCAAAGGAUCGGCCCGCGUUGGAUUAGGUAGUUGGUGGGGUAAUGGCCCACCAAGCCGACGAUCCAUAGCUGGUUUGAGAGGAUGAUCAGCCACACUGGGACUGAGACACGGCCCAGACUCCUACGGGAGGCAGCAGUGGGGAAUCUUAGACAUGGGCGCAAGCCUGAUCUAGCCAUGCCGCGUGAGCGAUGAAGGCCUUAGGGUUGUAAAGCUCUUUCGUGGGGGAAGAUAAUGACUGUACCCCAAGAAGAAGCCCCGGCUAACUCCGUG
rnacentral:rRNA from 1 species